rnacentral:rRNA from 1 species
UACGGGGGGGGGCAAGCGUUGUUCGGAAUUACUGGGCGUAAAGGGCUCGUAGGCGGUGUGUCGCGUCGGCCGUGAAAACCUGCAGCUUAACUGUGGGCUUGCGGUCGAUACGGGCAUCACUGGAGUUCGGCAGGGGAGACUGGAAUUCCUGGUGUAGCGGUGAAAUGCGCAGAUAUCGGGAAGAACACCCGUGGCGAAGGCGGCUCUCUGGGACGGUACUGACGCUGAGACGCGAAAGCGUGGGGAGCGAACAGGA